rnacentral:lncRNA from 1 species
UGGAAAUUCAGGAUACAACUGUGGUAACUCACACGACAACAUAACGUUGAAGAUUGUGAUAUGGUUGAAUUUUAUUACAAUAAAUUUGAUGAUACUUGUAAAGUGUGCAAUGAAAAAAAAAAGAAAUGCUGAUGACCACAAGUUACUCAAGUGGACACGGAUUUACCUCAGUUGAGAUGUUGGAUGUAGCUUUGUUAGGCAUAGAUUCUCCCUGGAAAAAGUGGGUACAGAUUCAGACACCUUUAACUCAGAUAGAGUCAGAUCUCCAUUUGGUUUGCAUCAAUAUUAAAUCACAUCAUUAUAUAAAUUCUAUUUUAAUGUCAGUCAGGUGAUUAAUCUUCUAUAUUAUGUUGUGACCUACUUUAAAAGAGAUCAUUUCUUAUUUAAUGUCUCCUGUGAAAUCACAUUUAUUAAUGGCUCAAAGACCCAUUAAAUAUAUAUUUGACUUAAGAGCUGUAUAUAAGGUGGUAAAAGCACUAAAACCCUUACCCUUCCAAUCAGAAAAAUGUUUACUGUAAUUGUUAGUGUUUUAAAAGUCUUUUAAUGGUAAUAUUUGAAAUGUUUUGUUAAAACUGAAUUUUCUGUUUAUUUUCCUGUCUAUCUAUGUAUACUUCAGUACAAAUUUGAUUAAGAAAUGAUACAACAAUAUACAGAUAUUUUUAACUUUUGUUAAAGGUUUAAAAAGUUGAAGCUGGUUUAAUCUUCUGAUCUUGUACCUCUUAUUUAUCUGUAUGAUAUGGAUUUAUGAAAUGUAUUAAUGAGAUAUCUGAAUAAGCACCAGUUUAUCCACAAUAUAUAUACUCUCUGAAGUUAUUGAGAACUGUUUUUGACAAUAUAAGUUAAUUAGCUCAAAAUAUGUCAGAAUGUAAGGAAUAAGUUAAAUGAUUUUCUGUAUUUGAAUAUCUUACUUACAUAAUGCCAUGUAUAAAACUAUUAUUUUCAGUAACAUUUUAAAAUGUUUGUAGUUUUAGAUAAUGUAUUUACAAUGGUGAAUAAUGAUAAAACUUGAAGCAACUAUUCAAGAAUCUUAAGUUUUGGUUUGUGUAAAACAUACCAAAACAAAAUAAAAUACAUUCUGAUAAAUUUGUUUUUCUCGUGAAAAUGUGCAAUAAGAUUAUCAUUAAGACAACUGUUUCCAGAUGGUGGAUAUUAAUUUCAAGAUGAUAAUGCUUCAUGGCUUUGUGCCAAAAAUGUUAAAGACUGCUUAAACUGGAUCACAGAUAAGAAUGUAACAAGAAAGGACUAAGCAACACAGCUGUGUGGUUUAAACCAAACAGAGAAUUUGUGGAUAACAAUGAAAUGUUAUUUUAAUAAGUUUCAUCCAGAAAAAUAAAAUUGAGGCUAUAUUGCCUUUUGAAAUCAUAUGAUAAAUGAGAUCUGGAAAAGGUUGUUGGCAGUAUGCUAUUCUCAGGUGCACUGAUUUAGCUUACAGACAUGAAGAGUAAGUAAAAAUAACAGGAGGAGUGGAAGAAAAUGUAUCCCAAAACAAAACUGAAUUUCUGACUCUGACUAAAUUUAAGUAAACUACCAAACAUAGUGUAAGAACAACUUGAAAGUAACAUAUUUUCACUUGCAGCACACAUCAAAAACCAGUGCAUAAAGAUAAUGCUCAGUGCUUCUCUGUUACUUUUAAAAGAUCUUGACAGAAUAAAGUUUGGCUAAAGAGUAAUUAUAUCCAUUCCAAGAAUGAGUAGACUUACCACUUUAUGCAAAACAUAGUGUCAUGUCUUCCAGAAUAUAUGUAUUAUCCGUGUUACAAUCAUUCCACAAGUAAAAUUAGGGAUGACAUUGUCUGCAGGUGAUUUCAGAUAUUUGUAUAGUUCACCUUAUUAUAGUACCACAUGAUGUUAAACUACAUAGAAUUCUAACAUCUGUAAGAGAGGGAGUUCAACAUUGUCUAAGGGGAUUAAACAUAUGACAGUGAGUAAGAAGAGCCACAUACUGGAACCAGUUCUCUACUGAUAAACCCAUAAGUAUUUCCACAAAUUUGUACAAGUAGAAAAAGACUGAAACACUUAGGUGAUAAUGACAUGAAGUGUUCAACUUUUUUAAUAUUGAAAGGAAAAUAAAUGAAUAUAUAGUGUGUUUCACUUACAACACCAAAUGCCACAAAGAUGUUGUAUGGUGAUGAUAUCUCACAAUGUAUUUUAUAUACUUGUAUAUUUGUGUAUAUAUAUAUACAUACAUAUACACACAUACACAAUAAAAUAUACAGUAUUGUACUACUGCUGCUUGUUAAUUUUAACAAAGGUUCUCUUUGUACUUUAUGAAGUCUGUUAUUAUCUCAACUUCUAAUAAAGAUAAAUACAAUGUUUUUCUUCACUAGUGAAUUCAGCAUGACAAUUAUUUCAGAAUAUAAUUGCAAACAUACAAUUGAGAACUCUUAAAAAAAA